rnacentral:rRNA from 1 species
CGGUCUAGUAAAUGCCUGGGUAAAUCGUGCCGCUUAACGGUACGAAUUCCGGGUAGACUGUUAGACUUGAGACCGGGAGAGGUUAGAGGUACUCCUGGGGUAGAGGUGAAAUUCUGUAAUCCUAGGGGGACCACCAGUGGCGAAGGCGUCUAACCAGAACGGGUCUGACGGUGAGGGACGAAGCCCUGGGGCGCAAACCGGAUUAGAUACCCGGGUAGUCCAGGGUGUAAACGCUGCUUGCUUGAUGUUAGUCGGGCUCCGAGCCCGAUUAGUGUCGGAGUGAAGAGGUUAAGCAAGCUGCCUGGGAA